rnacentral:other from 1 species
UCAAUCCUAAUGUGUUCGUCGAGUCCGUCUAAGUUUUGACCGAACACUUAUAUCUUAGGGAGUCUGCAGUUUUUAUGCGGCGUAAAUGCCUUUUGAGGACUUACAAAGCAUAAAACAGGACACCCACCUGCCUCGAGCGGGUUCAAAACUCUAAGGAUAGACGGCACGAUUGGGAUUGAU